rnacentral:rRNA from 1 species
AGGAUGAGCCUGCGUCCCAUUAGCUAGUUGGUAGGGUAACGGCCUACCAAGGCAGUGAUGGGUAGCCGACCUGAGAGGGUGACCGGCCACACUGGGACCGAACACGGCCCAGACUUCUACGGGAGGCAGCAGUAGGGAUAUGCCCAAUGGGCGAAAGCCCAGGCAGCGACACCGCGUGGGGUGAUGAAAGUAUUAUGUAUUCGUAAAGCCCUGUCGUGAGGGAAAAAAGAGUAAUCUUGACGGGUACCUUCACUAAUAGCCCCGGCUAACUUCCGUGCCAGCAGCCGCGGUAAUACGGAAGGGGGCAAGCGUUUGUUUCGGAAUUUACUGGGGCGUAAAGCGCACGUAGGCGGUUCGGUAAGUUUGAGUGUUAAAUAUUCUGGCUCAACCAGAGACCUGCGCUCGAAACUGCCGUGCUAGAGAUCAGAGAGGAG